rnacentral:misc_RNA from 1 species
UGAGCAACAGGAAGUGAAAUCACCAAAUGAACAUCAAAUGGAAAAUGUUUCACCCACUGUCUCUCUUCCCGCAUUGUCUAUGUUUUACACUUGCUUAAGGAUAAUGGCUACCUUCCUUCCCACCACCUUCUUCUCUCUCAAAUUCCCUUCCUAUUCUAACUUCUCCACUAUCCAUUGCCCUACCCACCUUCAACGAAGCAGCCAUUUUCAAUGGGUCUCGUAGCCUCUUGGACGUAGCCUUAGCUAACAUUUUAUCACAUGCAACCAGAAUCAGGCACUUUCAAGUUUCAACUAUCUCGCACCAUGAAAAAUGACUCAUCUCUCGAUCUGCUUUGUUGUCAGUAAUUAAAUGACCAAUCACGAAGAUUCGAAGACCUUAGGCUUAUCAUCUCUUUUAUUCAGGUUUGUUUUUGGUUGCUUAAGAAGGGGAUCCCAAAUAUCAUUGAGAUGAGCAAUAGCAAGAGAUGAAGAAACGUCCAUUUCCAAGUUUAACGAAUAAUGCAGAAAAAAAAUUAUGGAACUGGUUCUGGUUCUUUUAUUUUUAUUCUUGGGUUCAAUUGAGCUGAUUAAAUUGAAAGGUUUAGAUUUUAUAUCUGCCAAAUUAAUGAAAUAAUUGUUGUCUAAAUUAAUAGAAUUUUGGGUUCCAUAAUUACUAAGCACUCUGUGAUUCUGAGAAAAAAUAAGUGGAUUCAAGAGGAUGAGAGAUUUUAGUUUCUGGGUACAAGGUGCUUUUGAUUUAAUCAUUAAGAAAGUGAAGCUUUUGGGUUCAUGAGAUUUUGGUUCUGUUGUGGGAGAACUUUUGGGUUCUUGAAAACUUGUAGACAUCAAUUAAUUCAAACCCGAGAUUUCAUAACUCUAUUAAUGACUCGAUAUUUCUCGGCCUCCAAACACCAAAGCUCCCUUCUUUCAACAAAUCAAACUUCCUUGUAUCCCCUCCAUCCAAAUCAAAAUCCUAAUCAUCCUUAACCACAAUUUUAAAAUCAUCAGGAAUGUCAUGGGAUUUGGAUGAUUUUGCAAGGCCAAGCCAUAAAAUUUAGACUUUGAGGAAGCUUUAAUCGAUUUCCAAAAGUAUAGAUAAUGUAUUUUUUUGCAAAAGCUCAUUGGUUAGGCACAGUGGCAGGGCUUUUGUGGGUUGAAUUGACGAAAGCCUCUGCUUGCGAGGUUGGGCUCCAAUGGGCCUAUUUCUUGUGCCUAGCGAUGAAAACUCACAAGUUUCCCACUCACCCAACAUGCGCUGAAAACCCUAUCAAGGCAUUCUUCCUGUAACCUGCGACUGUGAGUGAGUGAAACCCCAAGUUUAAAACAAGAAGAAGUGAAACAAAUUGGAAGUCUGACGCAGAAGAAAACACUGAGGAUUGGGCAUGGCAUCUACUGAUGAAAGCAUCACUCUCAAAAGAAAGCAAUUAAUAGCAUCAGCUCUCAUCAAGCACCUAUCUUUAGAUCCUGGGGCUUCUUUGAGUGUCAGUGGCAAGGAUAGUAUUACGAGUUUGUACACAAACAUUUUGAAGUCAUCGGGAAAAUGUUCUCCACAGAAAGAAAAUAACGAGGUGAUGAAGUGGAUAGUGUUUGCAGAGAGUUUUCCUGUAGACUCUCAGGCGUGCUUUGAUGCUCUCUGUGGAUUCAAUCAAGACUUGGCUCAGAACUCUGUACUAUUGGGCAAUGGAACUACUCCUUCUGAGGCUGAUGUCAUUGUGUUUUCAGUAAUACAUUCUUCAGUGAUUGGCCUUUCACAUUUAGAGAGAGAAAAGUUGACACAUGUGAUGAGAUGGAUGGAUUACAUUCAGCACAAGGAGGAGUUUGUGGACCUAUUUGAAAAGAUAUUGCUUGAAAAGCCUGCAUUUGAGCCUCUGUUGCAGGGUAAAAGGGGUAUGGCUAAGGUUGAAGUGGAUUCAAAUGCAAAAAAGACACUGCAAAGCACAAAGAACACAGAAAAAUCAGAAGCGGAAAAGAAUAUAAAGAAAAAUGAUGCUGGGAAAAAGGUUACAGAAAAUAAGGAAUCUAUGCCAGAGAAAAAGAAACCAGCUGAAACAGAACCUGCUGAGAAAGAUAAAGAAGUAAGUGUUAGUUUGCUGAACAUACAGGUUGGACUUAUUCGCAAAGCAUGGAAACAUCCAUCUGCCGAUAGGUAAGCUGACAACUCAUUCUUCUCCUCGAAGUGUUCAUUAUAUUCAUUAGAAAAGCUGUUCAACUGCUUGUAACCUGGUUAUGGUACCUUUAAGUUUGAAGUAUCUUAAUUUAUGCAGCAUGACAUUUCUGAUAGAAAACUAUUUGUGACAUUUUUAAUUUUGAUUAUUAAUUCAGUUUAUUGGUUGAGGAGAUAGAUGUUGGGGAUGCAAAAUUGAGGCAGGUGGUCAGUGGUUUGGCAAAGUUUUGCAGUCCAGAUGAGUUGACGGUAUGAUUUCUUAUAUAGUCUCCUGUGAACUAUUUUUGUUUAAUUGUUUGGGAUUUAUUGAAGUGCCAAAGCCCAGUUGCUAAUUCUCCAUUUGGUGUUUGCAUUUUCUAUAAAGAAUCGUCAUGUUGUGCUGAUAACUAAUGUAAAACCUGGAAAGCUACGUGACGUGAUGUCAGAAGGACUUGUAAGUUUUCUAUACAUUUUCAUUGUUGUAUGAAUCAAGUAAUGAUGCUCUCUAUAUUCAGCAAAAGCUUAUGAUGUAAUAGUGCUUUUGUUUUCAGUAUUUGUUUUGCUGUUCUCGAUAAACUUUGCAACUGCAGAAUAAAACAAGCAAGGAUAUGAUUGGUGUCUUGCUAGUAGGAUUAUUCUACUCCUGUAAUAGUGUCGUGGUGAAAUUUUUGUUCUUCUUAUGUGGAAUAAUUAUUAUGAACUUGGUUAUAUGAUUGAUGUUGUUCUUCUUCUCUAGGAUAAUAUGCAUUAAUAAAUUUUAGUUAUUUGUCAUUGAUCUGAUUAUAACCACGUGACAGUGAUGCUAAUUGAUUCCCUUUCAUGAAAUAUUGGCAGUGCCCAUGUAUAUGGCUUGUCAUUUCCUCUUUCUUGUUGCCAAAGAUCUCAGAUAUUCUAGGUUGUAAUGAUGGGUUAAUUUAUUUGUACCACAUUAACUUAGUUGACAUAAGAAUCCCAAGGAAUGAAGUUGAUGCUUGUGUGCAUGUCUUUGCUUCCUAAUUUUUCAGGUCCUGUGUGCUUCUAAUGAGGAUCACACUGUUGUAGAGCCUUUGCUCCCUCCAGAAGGUGCCAAAAUUGGAGAACGCGUCUCAUUUUCAGGGAUUGAUGGUAAGCCAGAAGAUAUCCUAAAUCCAAAAAAGAAGCAGUUGGAGAAAAUAACACUGGUAUGUGGUUCAAACUUUCUGUUGUUUUUUAUUUUUAUUUUUUUUUGAGCUCCUGGUUCAUUUUAUAGUGUGCAUAUUCAUCUUAUCCUGCACCUCAUCUAUCAAACUUCAAAAUUAUCUUCUCAUUAACUAGGAUUAUGUUCCAUAGAACUCAGAAAAAGUAUGGGUGAAUGAAUUGGUCGUUAGUUGGACAAUGUGGUUUUCUUUCUGGUUCUGUGGCCCACUGCAGGUAACUAUCAAUUAAUUAGAUGAUGUGAUUCAAUGAGCAUGCCAACUGUUAAAAUUUAAGGAGUCAUAUUUCCUUCCUACUUCAUGGUAGAUAUGACAAAUUUUGAAGGUAUCAGCAGGAAGUUAUGAGUUAUAGUUUGUCUUGCUUUUAUGGUUUGUGAAUCAUUACAUUUUUUUGUCUUUAGCGCUCGUUAUCUUAAAAGAGGCUAUUGAAAGUACUGAUGGGUAGGUGAACUGGUUUCUUAUACUGCAACAUAAAUGCUGUGGUCAUUGCUUGUGUCAUUAUUGCCUUUUCCUUUAGUUUUUAUAUGAAUGCUUUGGGUAUGGUUUUUGAUCAUGAGCAUUUCAUGGGUGCAGAAUCUUUUCACUGAUGACAAGGGUGUGGCCACAUUUAAGGGCAUACCAUUUAUGACAUCGGGUGGGCCAUGCACAUCAUCCAUUCCAAAGGCAAGCAUCAAAUGACAACGAUGAUCAAUUGGACCACAAUGAGCUUACUGUUUACUUGUUCCUAUCUGAGUUUUAGCUUUAAGCUCUAUUUGUUGUCUGGUACAAGAACAUACAUGUUAAAACAGCCAUUGGUUUUGAAUCAUGUAGUAACAUGAAAUGGUUUCAAACUGUCUCAUUCAUUUGGGAUCUAACGUUAAACAAAAUUCAGCAAGGUAUGUUCUUAAUCACAUUACCAAUAUUUUUAUAUCAAAUAUCAAUAGAAAUUUUGAGGUGUCUUGCAAUGGG